UAUUGCACAAUGGGCGAAAGCCUGAUGCAGCAACGCCGCGUGAGCGAUGAAGGCCUUCGGGUNGUAAAGCUCUGUCCUCAAGGAANNUCNNNANGGUACUUGAGGAGGAAGCCCCGGCUAACUACGUGCCNNNAGCCGCGGUAAUACGUAGGGGGCUAGCGUUAUCCGGAAUUACUGGGCGUAAAGGGUGCGUAGGUGGUUUCUUAAGUCAGAGGUGAAAGGCUACGGCUCAACCGUAGUAAGCCUUUGAAACUGGGAAACUUGAGUGCAGGAGAGGAGAGUGGAAUUCCUAGUGUAGCGGUGAAAUGCGUAGAUAUUAGGAGGAACACCAGUUGCGAAGGCGGCUCUCUGGACUGUAACUGACACUGAGGCACGAAAGCGUGGGGAGCAAACAGG
rnacentral:rRNA from 1 species